UUCGCUGCUCGUUUGACGGUUUGAUCAUCGUUCCAACAUUCUGUGGACCGGCGUCGACUGGAGCGCAAGGUUUCUGAUGGCCUGAUCUUGUUGCGUUCCAUGAAAUGAAAACUGAGGUGGCUGUGAAGGAACCUCAAGAUGGAUGGAUUCAGAAGAAAAAUGAAAAAUGAGCUUGUGGAAGUCCCUGUCGCCAACUGAUGGUCGGUGUUAUUGCCCCUAGUCAGGUCUGAUGCGAUUCUUUCCUCGAUUAAGCACUCGGCACUUGGUUUUGAAGAAAUGGAUCCGGUUAGAUUCCAGGCGAAAGUAUCUUCAAGCAACCAUUACAUCUACAUGCAGCAACCAUGCUUGCGUCCGUGCAGCUUGGGUGCGCGGCGACAGGAUGUACUAACACCGGAUUUGGGGCGUGAUUACCCUGAAUAAGUCGGGCCUCCAGUGACUUGCUGCCUCGAGUCAAGGCAGAGAAAAACAAGGUACGACGAGACGUUGAGUGGUCAACAAAGCGCGACGUAGCUGCAACUUGAUCUCCGGGCCUAUCCUUAUUGUCAAGUAUGCCAUGCCUACCGAUGUUGAUACACGCCGAUGUCGAUAACGGAUAAGCCUAUGCUGCGUUCGAUCGAGUUAUCCGGUGGAGAGGAUGAAAAAACUUCUUGCAGGUAGAGCUUCCCACUUCCAAGUUCGCAGCAGAGCAGUUUAUUUGAACGCAUCUAAGUGGAAGAAGAGGUAACGAGCGCCACGUAUCAACGCUUCGAAUCCCCGUUCCAUGAAGUUGACGACCUUAAUUUCGAAAGAGCAAAUGGAACGAAGCAAUUAAAUCGAGAAUAAAAAAAA
rnacentral:lncRNA from 1 species